rnacentral:rRNA from 1 species
CUCGUAGGUGGUUGGUCACGUCUGCUGUGGAAACGCAACGCUUAACGUUGCGCGUGCAGUGGGUACGGGCUGACUAGAGUGCAGUAGGGGAGUCUGGAAUUCCUGGUGUAGCGGUGAAAUGCGUAGAGAUCUGGAGGAAUACCGAUGGCGAAGGCAGCCAUCUGGCCUAAUACUGACGCUGAGGUACGAAAGCAUGGGGAGCAAACAGGAUUAGAUACCCUCGUA